AGUGCACCAAAAGUAUCUAUCUAAGCUUUCCUAUCUAACGAAAAUCAUGAAGGUUGAUACUUAUCCUAUGUUUAAAAUUUUCUCCGUUGCCUAUUAUUACUCGAUUAUUUUCGGAUGGAUGCCCAUUCAUGUACCAAAAAAUGCCAAAGAUCGAAAAAACAAAAGCUCUUGGUGUAUACCUGGCAUAAUAUCGUCAAUAUUUUUCAUCAUUAUCCUGGUAGGAUCCAGCGACAUGACUAAUAGAUUAAGGCAAAUAACAAAAUUCCGGGGAAACAUUUCAUCAAGUAAUCUCACUGUACACGAUCGUAUUCAAAUUAUAGCUGGGCCUAUAUUUAUUCAUUCGCUGACAAUAAAUCAAUUGUUUAUUAUUGUUACAUUUGUAGCAAUGCCAUAUCAUUUGUUGGAACUUAGGAAAACAUUUGAUCUAUUUAAUUAUUUUUUCAAUCGACAUGGAGCGAUCAUUGGAAUAGAAGCUAAAAUGAACACUAUAGUUUAUAAAGUUAAUAUGGAAUUAAUUUUACUAAUAAUACUCAAUUUUUUACUAUCAAUAGCUUCGGUUUUAGGAAGCUUUAAUCGUAUGAGAUUGUCCUUCUUUUUGAGAUUCCUUAUAUCAGCGGAUAAUGUCCUGAAAAAAAUGGAAGCCUUUUCGAUAUGUGUUCAAUUUUGGUGCGUUAGUUCAACAUUAGCAAAAUGUUUUAAAUGUCUCAAUGAUUCUUUAAGUAGACUUCAUAUAAGAAAAAAUCAAGCAACGGCUACGCCACCAGGUUUAUUUCUUGUACCAGACCCUUAUACAUCACCGGCAAAUAUGGUUAUAUUUUUAAAACAUAUUAAAAAUGCUCAUGUCGAUCUGUGUUCUAUCAUAGACCAAGUGAACAAUGUUUAUCAGGUGCUGAACUUACUAUCCAUUAUCAUUACUUUAUUAAGUUUAUUACCUCAUUUGUUUGUAUUUGCCAUUACCAUGGCAUUUUCAAACUUCAGGAUGACACCUCACAUAUCAUUAAUCCUGUGGCCCGUACAAUACUUCAUGAAAAUGUUAAUUACCUGCAGAAUAGCAUCCAUUGCUACAUCCGAGGCUAAACGAACAAAAACACUUUUGAAGUCAGAAAUUCAUAAAAAUCUCACGGCUCAAGAGAAAUGUGAAGUUGAGUAAAUUAAUUAUGUAAUAUGUUUAUAAUUAUAAUUUUAGUAGAGUAACCUUUGGUCAAGAAACAAUACAUAAUAUUUUAACAGUUUGGCAGAAAUUACAAUUGUUUUUCCCUUCGCUGAGUACUAAGUGAAACGUCUUACGUAAAGAGUAAACAUGAUCGCUGUAAUGAUCAAUAGAAACUAAUUCUGAGAAAAAAAAUCUAGCUUGUGCUUUGGUACAAGGCUCGUGGUCCAAAGUAAUAUUUUAUAACUAUAUAUAUUGUAUUAACUGUGAAUAGAUUAGAUGGGUUACUUGUUAACGCGUUUGGAAAGACAUUUGAUUUCUUUUUGACGUUUAAUGCAUUUCCGGUUUUUAACGAUCAUAUAUUUAGUGCAAACAAAAUAUCCAUAGAUCUCUUCUCUUUUAUCACUUGGAACAGGGAGACAUUAAAAAUAAAAUGCUUGUAUACAUAUGUUAAUCACAGAAACACGAAAGUCCGAUAAUAAAAAGUUUCUUAGAAAGAAUUAACAGAAAAAAAAUUGAAUUUUCGCUAUGUGGAUUUAGCAUUUUAAAUGAUAAAUAUUUUUUAUCUACAUUCGUGGCAGUAGCAGGA